rnacentral:lncRNA from 1 species
AGCAGCUUCAUUGGACUCAAAAGAUUCAGAACGGAGCAUAUCGACGAGGGGUUUAACGGCGUUAGAGAAAUGACGGCGGUAACGUUGAGAAGUCUUGGUUAGACGGCGGAUCUCCUUAGCCGCCUGAACUUUCAAAGUGAGGUCAUCGGAAUGAAUGAGAAUAAGGGUUUGUUGAACUACCAAAGACGAUGUCGUUGGGCGAAUAUCACCAUCAAACAUACCGUCGGUGGCAUCAGUAGUAUUGAUCAGCUGCACAGAAUUCUCGCCCUCCGAACCCAUAUUAUUGGGAAAAAUAGACAAGGAAUAGAGAAGAGUGAGAGAGAAAAUAAAUAUCUGAGCUACUUAAAGCUGAGAAGGGAAGCCAAUAAAAAAAAUUAAACGUACCCUUCGUCUUUAACAGCGAGAUUAAGGAGGGCAAGAAGAGCAGCUUCGUUGGACUCGAAAGAUUCAGAACGGAGCAUAUCGACGAGGGGUUUAACGGCGUUAGAGAAAUGACGGCGGUAACGUUGAGAAGUCUUGGUUAGACGGCGGAUCUCCUUAGCCGCCUGAACUUUCAAAGUGAGGUCAUCGGAAUGAAUGAGAAAAAGGGUUUGUUGAACUGCCGAAGACGACGUCGUUCGCCGAAUAUCACCAUCAAACAUACCGUCGGUGGCACCAGUAGUAUUCAGCUGCACAGAAUUCUCGCCCUCCGAACCCAUAUUAUUGGGUGCUAAAUUAUUGAGAAAAAUAGGCAAGGAAUAGAGAAGAGUGAGAGAGAAAAUAAAUAUCUGAGCUACUGAAAGCUCAGAAGGGGAGAGUAUAGAAAGAGGUUAAAAGAAAAGGGACAAGUUUAUUUAAGUAAUAGAAGAAGUAAGGUAGUUUGCUGUAAAAACGAAAGGUUGAGAGGAGAGGAAGUAAA